UCCGUAAAUAAGUGAUGCGUUUUCUUAUAGGUGGUUUUCAUAUUAGCAUGUUCUCAGAUAGAGUAGCACGGUAUAUUUAAAAUUCACACACAAUAAAUCAUGUGCGUUACAAAAACAAAAUAUUGUUAGCAUAAAAAAAAGCCGAGUCCGGAACUUAAGAUAUAGCAAAAGUCGACAUUACAAAAGAAGAUCAGACAUUAACUUUUGUGCCCUAAACAACAUCGUAUCAAACGGAAAAAAAAAACAUCGUAUCAAACGGGACCAUGCAAAUAAUAAAAUAAACGAUCACAUUAUUAAACUAUUCAUCAACCGUUUGUAAUGAAUAGAAUAUCAACAACAAAUGGUUUGUCCCAUUUAAAGGGUUUAAGAAUUAUAUGAGCUCGCCAUGAAUAUGAGCUCCCAUUUAGUGGGUUUAAGCAAAUAAAAGAACGGUAGGGGUAUAAGAGGAAUUCUCCUGAAGAUAGCCAUUAAUAUUCUGUUAAAGUUCUUACAACUCUGCAAACUGGACAGGUGUUGUCUCGUCUCGUAUACGGAGAGAAGAAAACUUUCUAUUUUGUUUUUUUUCUAAAUGUAAAUCAUAAACUUGUGUUGAUGCAAAUCAGUAUUCUAUAUAUUCUUACUACGUGAGAGAGAACAAAGCACGAAAGAUCUGAGUCAUAGAAACUGAGAAAAUAGUCAUAAACACUGGGAAAAAAAAACAAGAAAGAUCUGAGUCAUAGACACUGAGAAAAAUGUAAGUUCUUUUAGAGAGAGAAAAUGCUUUAUAUAUUCAUAUAUAGUUUUCCAUAAGUGUGACUUCCGUUUACUUGUUCUUAACUCAUACAUGCUUCUUUCUUCAGAGCUACAAAUGGAUAAGAGAAAAAGAAAAAAAAUCGGUGAAGAUCCUCCAGCAGAUGUAAGUUUACGUUUCUUAAAACCCUUGAUCCAAAUCUGUUUUUGUUUCCAAAGCUACAACUAUUUUGAAAGCAAGGGUCAAUAUAUAAUAAGUUUGGUUUCUCUCUUAGUGGCGUAUACAAAUAAUAAAUCUUGUCACUUUUGAGUAUUUGAAUAACUACAUAAAAGAUCUCCUGGUACACCUUCUAAAGUAACUAUCUCCACGCUUUGAACAGGUAGCAAAGGAAGCACCUGAGACCAAGCAUGAACGAGAUCAAGGUAUAUCUGGAUCUUGAUUUUGAGUUUUUUUUUUCCAUAUAACUUUCGGGUUUGUUUUUGUUGCUUGAUGAAAUCCUCAAAUGUAAUCUCUGACAAAAAAAUGUUUCAUCGUCUGAGAUCUUUUGGUGGGUUUUUUUUGUUGCUGCAUCUAGGUGUUUAGGGCCGGUUGCUUUUGUUGUUGGAUAAACUCGUCAAAUAAACUCUGACAAAGAAAAAGCUUUGAUCUUUUUUAGCCUCUUGACUUGCUUAUGUUGUUGCAUAAAACAUUGAAGCAAUUUCUUUAUGUACAGUUUUAUUUUAUUGAUCAAAAAGUUGGGCUUUUUCUGUUAUUACGCAAGCCAAAAGAAAAAAAUGAGAUUUUUUUAACUUAGAUCAUUUUUGUUUUUGUUUUUAUUUUUUUAUUUUUUUUGAACACCAGAUCAUUUUUGUUAUAACCCAAAAAAGUAGACUAAUUUAUUUACUUAUUUCAAAUGAUUAGAUGCUAACCGAUCAUAUGGAGCCGGCGGCGGACACAAAAAAGGAGGAAAAAGACCAAAAACUGGAGAUGCUUCUACUACAAAAAGCACCCAUGUAAUAUUUUGAUACAUUAUAAAACCUAUUUUAUUUGUAUAAAAAUAUUCUAACAAAGAAAUAUGAUGUUAUUGCAGCGUUUGACGCCUUCGGAUGAUAACUAUCCCAAGGUUAGGUCCUUUUAUAUAAUUACUCUUAUUUGUACAAAUUUUAAUUUUUUCUUAUUUUGUCACUUAGCACAAUCUAAUCUUCUUCUUUUUCUUUUGUAGGAUUGUGGAGAUGAUAAAAUUUAUUGGAAAGAAUGGAGUGAGGUUGAUCGCGUUGUGAGGGAAGUCAGCAACCAAAAAUAUAAAGGUAAUUAUAAUGCAUUUUUUCAUAAUGCAUUUUACAUAUUGCAAAACUGGAUCGUGGAUGUACACUUAAAUUUCCUUGAUUAAACACACACAUAUAUAUAUAUAUAUAUAAACUCGUACAUAUGUAAUAUUUAUCUAUAUAUGUAUUUGUUUGUGUAAUCAAUACAUUUUCUAAUUUUAAUUAGGUUAGCAUCGAUAUUUCAUUUUUAACAUAUGGAAGCAUAAAAUCCUUUUUUUACUCGCCAGCCACAAACACCCAUUAUUUAUUUUUGUUUUAUCGACAGCAGCUUGCGAACCCGUACAAAGGAGUUAUAAUAUAUAUAUUAUUUUAUAUGUUUCCAUGGAUACUUUUCCUGCAUAAAUCAAAAGAAAAAGUUCUAAUAUUUUUAUUUUCUUGUAACUUAAAAAGUUCUAAUAUUUUACAUAUUAUUUUUGGCAGAUACAUGCUGGGCCCACGCGACCAAGAAAAAUAUAGAAGCACGGCUAAAGAUUCAAUUCAAUCUAGAUGUUUCGCUAUCUGUGGAUCAUCUUUAUCAUGGAAUUGCUAAAAAGAUGAGCACUGAUGCGAUCAAGAAUUUUGAUGAACUCAAGAAUUUUCUGAAGAAUGAAGGCAUCAUUCAAGAGAAAGAUUGUGAGUGUGAAAAGAGAACGAAUAAAAAAGAUCCAUGUUCUAAAAAAAUCGAGGUAAAAUCUAAAUAUAGUGACCGAGUGAUAAUUGUGCUCGUUAUUCAAAACAUAAUAUUAUUAAAUUUUUUACUGGUAGGCAAAAAAAGUAGGUGUUCUGAAGAUUGAAGAGUUCAUUACAACAAAAGUGGUCAGUGAAGAGGAAUUGAUACAGUUAGUUAAAGUUGCCCCUGUGAUGGUCAGCCUAUUGGCAACAGACGAUUUUUUAGCCCACAAAGGAGAGGGAAUAUUUUACGGAGAUAAACGGAGUAAAGAAAAAACUCAAGGCAAUCAUUUAGUUCUAGUUACUGGGUACAACAGUAUAGAUGGUCAGCACUACUGGAUCAUACAGAACACGUGGGGUGUUAAGUGGGGGGACAAAGGAUUUGCAAAAAUAGCUCGGAAAAUUAGCCGUGGUAAAGGCCAGCAGUCUCUAUUCUCAGAGAUUGUAUACCCCGUGGUAUGUUACAAAAAAAAAUUUAUAUAGUUUCAUUUAAAUAAAACAUAAUUCUAAAAGUAUAUGGUUUAUGUAACAGAUUUCAGGAGUUGGGGGCCUAGCAUGAGUCCAGUGUUAUCAGGUGUGGAAGGCACAACAAGUCAACAACCUUUAGUUUAGUAGAUUAUCAACUAUCAAGUAGUAUAUUUAAAAACGUUAUCUUUUUUCUUUUUUGAAAUUUUACUAGCAUGUUAUCAUUUGCAACUUUUGGAGGAUUUUAACAUAUUAUUAUCAAAUGGAUUGGUAACUUAAAUAAACCGUGUAUGGAUUUUUAACUAAAAUGAGCCCCUAAUGGAUUUUAACGGGUUACAGAAUAGUAAUGGGCAAAUGGUAGCCUAUCAAGUUUAUGAGUCAAAAAAGCUUGUUUGUUUGGAUUAUCCAUUGCGAUCAUUUGGUUGCGAUCCUAAGAAAGAAAUCCUUGGGGAGGGUUUAGAUGCAUAUUUGGAACAAGAGACCAAAAAACAUAUGGAUAAAGUUUUAAUAUUUUAGUAGUUGUCCCACAAAAGUCACACAUGAUACAGUUAUGAGGGCUUAAAAGAUAAAAGGGACAUAAUUCCCAAAAGUUAAAGAGGACUAUCUAAGA